rnacentral:rRNA from 1 species
AUGAACGCUAGCGACAGGCCUAACACAUGCAAGUCAGGGGCAGCACAAGGAGCAAUCUGAGGUGGCGACCGGCGCACGGGUGAGUAACACGUAUGCAACCUGCCUGUAAGCGGGGAAUAACCCGUUGAAAGACGGACUAAUACCGCAUAAUACUAAAUUACUGCAUGGUAAUUUAUUUAAACAUUUAUGGCUUACAGAUGGGCAUGCGCAUGAUUAGCUAGUUGGAGAGGUAACGGCUUCCCAAGGCAACGAUCAUUAGGGGUUCUGAGAGGAAGGUCCCCCACACUGGUACUGAGACACGGACCAGACUCCUACGGGAGGCAGCAGUGAGGAAUAUUGGUCAAUGGACGAGAGUCUGAACCAGCCAAGUCGCGUGCAGGAAGAAUGUCCUAUGGAUUGUAAACUGCUUUUGCAGAGGAAUAAAGUGCAUCACGUGUGAUGUUUUGUAUGUACUCUGCGAAUAAGGAUCGGCUAACUCCGUGCCAGCCGCAGC